UGAACACGGACAUACAAUUAGGAAGGCCAUUCUGCCAUCUUCUUUCAGAGCUGACAAGAAGCUUCAACAUUCAGGUCUAGCAGAAAAUUCUACUCAAGCCUUAUAGUUUCCAAAUCUAACUCCUGUCCAUCUAUUGUUAAAAAAGAUGCAAGAUGUUCCAAUGUAGCUUCUGCGGCUCUCGUCUGUAUCCCAGCAGUCAUCAUGCCAUUUCCAAAGAUUUGUGCCCUCAGCCUGUGUUAGCUGCUGGAAACCCCAGUGCCAUCAGCUGAAGGAGGGCGUUUACCGAAAGGUAUUGAAGUACAUGAACAUGCUAAGAAAGGCCAAAUGCAGUCUACUUCCCUGCUGGACGUGGAUUCCUGCAGUCUCCUGGAGGCCUUCAGAGGUAUUCCCUAGCAAUGGAUUUGGGAGCCUUUGUUCUAUGCAAAGUCAAAAAUCUUCUCUAUGCCUUCAGAGAUCUACAUGCACAGGCUCUGUGAAAGAAAGAGUACAUGGAAUUUCUCAGGGCAUGUCAGCUUUUAUGAAAUGGAGCAUUUCUUCAGUAACAAGAGAAGCAAAUGGAAAAAGACAUGGCAGGAGAUUAUACUUGUCAAGUGGAAGAAAUAGCACAACUGCCUGCUACAAAGCCACCUCAGUGCCUGCAUAGCUCAAAGAGGUAACUCGAACCAACAGUGCUUGAAGUGGUGAUGUACAGGAAAGACCCGAUGAAUCUUCAGAGCAGGAGAAGAUCUAAAGAUUUUUACCUUGGUUUUGGAGAUUUUUAUUUUGUGAGGAGUUUUUUCAUUUGUUUGGUUUUGUUUUUGUCUUGGCUCACUUUCCCCCCCAUGUUCUGUUCUGACAAUCUCACAGAUUUCCCUUUUCUAAAGCAGCAUUGGGCUGAGACGAUGUGGACUUGCUUUGUCAGUAGUGGCUUUUCUAAAGUAUGGAAAAAAGUUAUUUUAUGGGCAGCAGACACCAUGAAAAUGGGAAGUGAGAUGGAGAUUAGGAUGUAAAAUUUGGGAUGUGCUAGAGAUGGCACUACAUAUGGAAUACUCCCAUACAUGACCAUACAUGACCAAAUUAUUCAAGAAAAAAAGCCCAUUUUUAAAAAUGCUUGAGAGUUGCUGAGAAGAAAAGCAUUUGAAGGAAAUGAGUAGAUACACAAAGUCUACUUUUGCCCAAGAGAGCAGGCAACUAAGACAAGGUGUUCUGCUCAGCCUCAUGUUUCACUACAGGUGCAUUUUAUAGAAAUGAAACAACAUCAGAAGCUGAUCAUCAGAAGAAUGAAAUCUGUGCUGAUUUUUCAUUGGUGUAACCAACAGUUGAAUCUAUUCCAGAUUUAUACAGCUCUAUCCAAACCUUCAACAGUUGCUUCUUGGAAUGAUACUUAUUUCUUUUCCUCAAAGCUAUUCACUUCUUGAAUCAUUUCAGACUAGAAAGGAACAACCCUAAAUCACACUGAAAGACUAGCAACGACUGAAAUGAAGGCA
rnacentral:lncRNA from 12 species